AAAUUGAAGAGUUUGAUCAUGGCUCAGAUUGAACGCUGGCGGCAGGCCUAACACAUGCAAGUCGAACGGUAACAGGAAGCAGCUUGCUGCUUCGCUGACGAGUGGCGGACGGGUGAGUAAUGUCUGGGAAACUGCCUGAUGGAGGGGGAUAACUACUGGAAACGGUGGCUAAUACCGCAUAACGUCGCAAGACCAAAGAGGGGGACCUUCGGGCCUCUUGCCAUCAGAUGUGCCCAGAUGGGAUUAGCUAGUUGGUGAGGUAACGGCUCAGCAAGGCGACGAUCCCUAGCUGGUCUGAGAGGAUGACCAGCCACACUGGAACUGAGACACGGUCCAGACUCCUACGGGAGGCAGCAGUGGGGAAUAUUGCACAAUGGGCGCAAGCCUGAUGCAGCCAUGCCGCGUGUAUGAAGAAGGCCUUCGGGUUGUAAAGUACUUUCAGCGGGGAGGAAGGUGUUGUGGUUAAUAACCACAGCAAUUGACGUUACCC
rnacentral:rRNA from 1 species